rnacentral:rRNA from 1 species
UACAGAGGUCUCAAGCGUUGUUCGGAUUCAUUGGGCGUAAAGGGUGCGUAGGCGGCGCGGUAAGUCGGGUGUGAAAUUUCGGAGCUUAACUCCGAAACUGCAUUCGAUACUGCCGUGCUUGAGGACUGGAGAGGAGACUGGAAUUUACGGUGUAGCAGUGAAAUGCGUAGAUAUCGUAAGGAAGACCAGUGGCGAAGGCGGGUCUCUGGACAGUUCCUGACGCUGAGGCACGAAGGCCAGGGGAGCAAACGGG